rnacentral:lncRNA from 1 species
UGAAGCCUGCGAAGCGGCGAUGAUCUCGUUGGUACUCAACGGUUUUCUUUGUGCAUUAUGGCAGACCAGACCAAAACUACUCUAGGUCGUGCCGCUGUCACACGUUCGCGGGCUUCACACGGAGCGUGUAAACUGCGCAUGCUCCUUGACCUUGCGAUUAAACCACGCCCGCGUGAUGUCGUCAGACCUGAAACACCCAG